UGCCCCUCAGCUUUUCACCCCAGGUC
rnacentral:piRNA from 1 species